rnacentral:rRNA from 1 species
UGGGGAAUAUUGGACAAUGGGCGGAAGCCUGAUCCAGCAACGCCGCGUGAGGGAUGACGGCCUUCGGGUUGUAAACCUCUUUCAGUACCGACGAAGCGAAAGUGACGGUAGGUACAGAAGAAGGACCGGCCAACUACGUGCCAGCAGCCGCGGUAAUACGUAGGGUCCGAGCGUUGUCCGGAAUUAUUGGGCGUAAAGGGCUCGUAGGCGGUUUGUCGCGUCGGGAGUGAAAACAGCGGGCUUAACUCGUUGCUUGCUUUCGAUACGGGGCAAGACUAGAGGGUAUGCAGGGGAGAAUGGAAUUCCUGGUNUAGCGGUGAAAUGCGCAGAUAUCAGGAGGAACACCGGUGGCGAAGGCGGUUCUCUGGCAUUACCUGACGCUGAGGAGCGAAAGUGUGGGGAGCGAACAGGAUUAGAUCCCUGGUAGUCCACACCGUAAAGUUGGGCGCUAGGUGUGGGGUCCUUUCCACGGAUUCCGUGCCGUAGCUAACGCAUUAAGCGCCCCGCCUGGGGGNGUACGGCCGCAAGGCUAAAACUC